rnacentral:rRNA from 1 species
AGGAAUCUGCCUGGUAGUGGGGGACAACGUUUCGAAAGGGACGCUAAUACCGCAUACGUCCUACGGGAGAAAGCAGGGGACCUUCGGGCCUUGCGCUAUCAGAUGAGCCUAGGUCGGAUUAGCUAGUUGGUGAGGUAAUGGCUCACCAAGGCGACGAUCCGUAACUGGUCUGAGAGGAUGAUCAGUCACACUGGAACUGAGACACGGUCCAGACUCCUACGGGAGGCAGCAGUGGGGAAUAUUGGACAAUGGGCGAAAGCCUGAUCCAGCCAUGCCGCGUGUGUGAAGAAGGUCUUCGGAUUGUAAAGCACUUUAAGUUGGGAGGAAGGGCAGUAAGCGAAUACCUUGCUGUUUUGACGUUACCGACAGAAUAAGCACCGGCUAACUCUGUGCCAGCAGCCGCGGUAAUACAGAGGGUGCAAGCGUUAAUCGGAAUUACUGGGCGUAAAGCGCGCGUAGGUGGUUUGUUAAGUUGGAUGUGAAAGCCCCGGGCUCAACCUGGGAACUGCAUCCAAAACUGGCAAGCUAGAGUACAGUAGAGGGUGGUGGAAUUUCCUGU